rnacentral:rRNA from 14 species
CCGAACCCACGUCUGUUGAAAAAGACAGGGAUGACUUGUGGCUAGGGGUGAAAGGCCAAUCAAACCCGGAAAUAGCUGGUUCUCCGCGAAAACUAUUUAGGUAGUGCGUCACAUGAAUAUUGCCGGGGGUAGAGCACUGGAUGGGCUAGGGGGUCCCAACGACUUACCAAACCUAACCAAACUCCGAAUACCGGUGAGUACAGCACGGCAGACAGUCCAUGGGUGCUAAGGUCCGUGGACGAGAGGGAAACAGCCCAGACCUCCAGCUAAGGCCCCCAAGUGGCGGCUAAGUGGGAAAGGAUGUGGGAAGGCCAAGACAACCAGGAGGUUGGCUUAGAAGCAGCCAUCCUUUAAAGAAAGCGUAACAGCUCACUGGUCAAGCGUUCCUGCGCGGAAAAUGUAACGGGGCUUAAGUGAUACACCGAAGCUGCGGGCUCGAAAGAGCGGUAGCGGAGCGUUCCGUA